GAUUAAGUUAUUAAGGGCGCACGGUGGAUGCCUUGGCACUAGAAGCCGAUGAAGGACGUUACUAACGACGAUAUGCUUUGGGGAGCUGUAAGUAAGCUUUGAUCCAGAGAUUUCCGAAUGGGGAAACCCAGCAUGAGUUAUGUCAUGUUAUCGAUAUGUGAAUACAUAGCAUAUCAGAAGGCACACCCGGAGAACUGAAACAUCUUAGUACCCGGAGGAAGAGAAAGAAAAUUCGAUUCCCUUAGUAGCGGCGAGCGAAACGGGAAGAGCCCAAACCAACAAGCUUGCUUGUUGGGGUUGUAGGACACUCUAUACGGAGUUACAAAGGACGACAUUAGACGAAUCAUCUGGAAAGAUGAAUCAAAGAAGGUAAUAAUCCUGUAGUCGAAAAUGUUGUCUCUCUUGAGUGGAUCCUGAGUACGACGGAGCACGUGAAAUUCCGUCGGAAUCUGGGAGGACCAUCUCCUAAGGCUAAAUACUCUCUAGUGACCGAUAGUGAACCAGUACCGUGAGGGAAAGGUGAAAAGCACCCCGGAAGGGGAGUGAAAUAGAACCUGAAACCGUGUGCUUACAAGUAGUCAGAGCCCGUUAAUGGGUGAUGGCGUGCCUUUUGUAGAAUGAACCGGCGAGUUACGAUUUGAUGCAAGGUUAAGCAGUAAAUGUGGAGCCGUAGCGAAAGCGAGUCUGAAUAGGGCGUUUAGUAUUUGGUCGUAGACCCGAAACCAGGUGAUCUACCCUUGGUCAGGUUGAAGUUCAGGUAACACUGAAUGGAGGACCGAACCGACUUACGUUGAAAAGUGAGCGGAUGAACUGAGGGUAGCGGAGAAAUUCCAAUCGAACCUGGAGAUAGCUGGUUCUCUCCGAAAUAGCUUUAGGGCUAGCCUCAAGUGAUGAUUAUUGGAGGUAGAGCACUGUUUGGACGAGGGGCCCCUCUCGGGUUACCGAAUUCAGACAAACUCCGAAUGCCAAUUAAUUUAACUUGGGAGUCAGAACAUGGGUGAUAAGGUCCGUGUUCGAAAGGGAAACAGCCCAGACCACCAGCUAAGGUCCCAAAAUAUAUGUUAAGUGGAAAAGGAUGUGGCGUUGCCCAGACAACUAGGAUGUUGGCUUAGAAGCAGCCAUCAUUUAAAGAGUGCGUAAUAGCUCACUAGUCGAGUGACACUGCGCCGAAAAUGUACCGGGGCUAAACAUAUUACCGAAGCUGUGGAUUGUCCUUUGGACAAUGGUAGGAGAGCGUUCUAAGGGCGUUGAAGCAUGAUCGUAAGGACAUGUGGAGCGCUUAGAAGUGAGAAUGCCGGUGUGAGUAGCGAAAGACGGGUGAGAAUCCCGUCCACCGAUUGACUAAGGUUUCCAGAGGAAGGCUCGUCCGCUCUGGGUUAGUCGGGUCCUAAGCUGAGGCCGACAGGCGUAGGCGAUGGAUAACAGGUUGAUAUUCCUGUACCACCUAUAAUCGUUUUAAUCGAUGGGGGGACGCAGUAGGAUAGGCGAAGCGUGCGAUUGGAUUGCACGUCUAAGCAGUAAGGCUGAGUAUUAGGCAAAUCCGGUACUCGUUAAGGCUGAGCUGUGAUGGGGAGAAGACAUUGUGUCUUCGAGUCGUUGAUUUCACACUGCCGAGAAAAGCCUCUAGAUAGAAAAUAGGUGCCCGUACCGCAAACCGACACAGGUAGUCAAGAUGAGAAUUCUAAGGUGAGCGAGCGAACUCUCGUUAAGGAACUCGGCAAAAUGACCCCGUAACUUCGGGAGAAGGGGUGCUCUUUAGGGUUAACGCCCAGAAGAGCCGCAGUGAAUAGGCCCAAACGACUGUUUAUCAAAAACACAGGUCUCUGCUAAACCGUAAGGUGAUGUAUAGGGGCUGACGCCUGCCCGGUGCUGGAAGGUUAAGAGGAGUGGUUAGCUUCUGCGAAGCUACGAAUCGAAGCCCCAGUAAACGGCGGCCGUAACUAUAACGGUCCUAAGGUAGCGAAAUUCCUUGUCGGGUAAGUUCCGACCCGCACGAAAGGCGUAACGAUUUGGGCACUGUCUCAACGAGAGACUCGGUGAAAUCAUAGUACCUGUGAAGAUGCAGGUUACCCGCGACAGGACGGAAAGACCCCGUGGAGCUUUACUGUAGCCUGAUAUUGAAAUUCGGCACAGCUUGUACAGGAUAGGUAGGAGCCUUUGAAACGUGAGCGCUAGCUUACGUGGAGGCGCUGGUGGGAUACUACCCUAGCUGUGUUGGCUUUCUAACCCGCACCACUUAUCGUGGUGGGAGACAGUGUCAGGCGGGCAGUUUGACUGGGGCGGUCGCCUCCUAAAAGGUAACGGAGGCGCUCAAAGGUUCCCUCAGAAUGGUUGGAAAUCAUUCAUAGAGUGUAAAGGCAUAAGGGAGCUUGACUGCGAGACCUACAAGUCGAGCAGGGUCGAAAGACGGACUUAGUGAUCCGGUGGUUCCGCAUGGAAGGGCCAUCGCUCAACGGAUAAAAGCUACCCCGGGGAUAACAGGCUUAUCUCCCCCAAGAGUUCACAUCGACGGGGAGGUUUGGCACCUCGAUGUCGGCUCAUCGCAUCCUGGGGCUGUAGUCGGUCCCAAGGGUUGGGCUGUUCGCCCAUUAAAGCGGUACGCGAGCUGGGUUCAGAACGUCGUGAGACAGUUCGGUCCCUAUCCGUCGUGGGCGUAGGAAAUUUGAGAGGAGCUGUCCUUAGUACGAGAGGACCGGGAUGGACAUACCUCUGGUGUACCAGUUGUCGUGCCAACGGCAUAGCUGGGUAGCUAUGUGUGGACGGGAUAAGUGCUGAAAGCAUCUAAGCAUGAAGCCCCCCUCAAGAUGAGAUUUCCCAACUUCGGUUAUAAGAUCCCUCAAAGAUGAUGAGGUUAAUAGGUUCGAGGUGGAAGCAUGGUGACAUGUGGAGCUGACGAAUACUAAUCGAUCGAAGACUUAAUCAA
rnacentral:rRNA from 1 species